rfam:Oscillatoria acuminata PCC 6304, complete genome.
GUGUCUGAAGUCCAAGCGGUCCAGACGCUGGUUUGUGAAGCCAGUCCUAGCGGGUUCAAGUCCCGUCAGACACC